UACGUAGGGUGCAAGCGUGUCCGGAAUUAUUGGGCGUAAAGAGCUCGUAGGCGGUUUGUCGCGUCGGCUGUGAAAGCCCGGAGCUCAACUCCGGGUCUGCAGUCGAUACGGGCAGACUUGAGUGUUGCAGGGGAGACUGGAAUUCCUGGUGUAGCGGUGAAAUGCGCAGAUAUCAGGAGGAACACCGGUGGCGAAGGCGGGUCUCUGGGCCGGUACCGACGCUGAGGAGCGAAAGCGUGGGGAGCGAACAGG
rnacentral:rRNA from 1 species